GGCUGGCUUUCACCACCAGGAUGCUAGAUUAUUGUCCCAUAAAACAGUUCAACAGGACUGUUAUUGGCAAUAUGUAGUGUCCUUGGAAUCCAUUUUAACUUGAGUGUAUAAAAGUAAGUUACAAGGCAAAGUGAUUACGUACCAGAAAAAGAAAUGUGCAGAAAUACUACACGCACUGGGUCCCCAAGUGGAAAGCAGAUUCCUAAAAUGUGAUGGGGAUAUUUGCAGUAUUAAAUGUUUCCUGGUUUCCUGCAGUCUCCGGAGGCCAGAGUCAACCGGCAAAUCUCAGGUGCCUCGUGCUCCGUGCAUCCAUUUUCCUUACCUCCAGCCACGCGUGCUCAUGAGGCCCCAUCAUUUUCUGUGAUUUGGUGGCGUUCCCUUGCUGAUGGGGCACAGCUGGCCAACAAGGCCUGUUUCCCGGUGGGAAAGCUCACUCUAGUUCCGACCUUCCCUGCCCCAUCCGGAACAGCUGCAUCCAUUUCUCCCCUGCCUGCGUUCUCUCUCCCAAGCCGUCUACGCAAGCAAGUGGGGGUACAUCUGGCCAGCGUUGGUGGAGGGCUUACCGUGGGACAGUCCUCCUGCUAUGUUCUCGGCCUAAACCGCCGUUUUUAAUACUCAUGGCCACCCCAUGAGAGAGGCGUUGCCAUGAUCCUAACUUCAGUCUUCAAGAAAGCAGAAGUGGGGAGUAAGGGGCAAAUUAACCUGCGGACCUGACACCUGUAGUAAAGGUCAGGGGCUGCAGUUCAGACUUGGGAAGCUUCCGUGUCAAGCAGGAGGGGCCUUCCAGGGGGCUCUCUUUGGUUCCCCAGAAGGGAGUCCAGUACCUGACAAACCACUGCCCGGACUGCGGAAACUGGGUGACUGCCGCUCAGGUCGAUGACCUACUGUUGGUGCUGACAUACUUCUUCAUCAACGGCUCGGGGACCUGGGGAAGGUUGUUGGAGAGUCCACGGGUAUAAAAGGAAGUCCCUGAACGCAGACUCCCUCGGGACCCUGCCUCCACCUCCAGCCGCAGAGAAGAGGGACCCCACGCUUCAGAGGGCGCCUGUCUCUGCAGGAAAGGAAGCCGCCCUAGGACUAUUUCCCACGAGCAGUGCCUUUGUGAACCCCGGAGCAACGUGCUCUUCCUGCCUGUCCCUGACCUCCUCAACAGCAUCGUGGCAUGUGUGCCGAGAAGGGACAUCCCUCACAGGCUGUGUCUGUCCCGAGGCUAUAUGCUCAGAGGCCAACAUCCCGAAGAGGAGGAGGGCAAGGGCACUCCUGGAGAAGAGGAGUGUUGGAGAUGACUCUCACCUUCAUGGCAGAGCUCUGUGUCAGGGUCUGAAUGACAACACUGGCUGGGAACCUACACAACCACAGACUAUCUUAUUUAUGCCCCGUAGAUACAGGCUGCAGUUUUGUAAAGUAUGCAAAAUAGUUAUAAAUGGCUAAGUAUCUGUUUAUCUGGGAUAUGUUUAACACAACUGGACAUAUAAAAUUUUCAGUUGGGGGACGCCCACUUGGGUGGCUCAGUUGGUUAAGCGUCCAGCUUCAGCUCGGGUCGUGGU